CCUUGACAUACUAAGAACUUUCCAGAGAUGGAUUGGUGCCUUCGGGAACUUAGAUACAGGUGCUGCAUGGCUGUCGUCAGCUCGUGUCGUGAGAUGUUGGGUUAAGUCCCGNAACGAGCGCAACCCUUUUCCUUAUUUGCCAGCGGGUCAUGCCGGGAACUUUAAGGAUACUGCCAGUGACAAACUGGAGGAAGGCGGGGACGACGUCAAGUCAUCAUGGCCCUUACGGCCAGGGCUACACACGCGCUACAAUGGUCGGUACAAAGGGUUGCUACCUCGCGAGAGGAUGCUAAUCUCAAAAAGCCGAUCGUAGUCCGGAUCGCAGUCUGCAACUCGACUGCGUGAAGUCGGAAUCGCUAGUAAUCGCGGAUCAGAAUGCCGCGGUGAAUACGUUCCCGGGCCUUGUACACACCGCCCGUCACACCAUGGGAGUUUGUUGCACCAGAAGUAGGUAGUCUAACCGCAAGGAGGACGCUUACCACGGUGUGGCCGAUGACUGGGGUGAAGUCGUAACAAGGUAGGCGUAGAUGA
rnacentral:rRNA from 1 species